GUACACCAGGAGUGACCCAUGGGACUUGGACUUGAUUGCAGUCUGCUGAAGACCAGCAUCACAACAGGAGGCUGAUUCUCCAAUUAUUGAAGAACCUGUCCUCAAGAUUUUUGCUACACACAGUGUCACUGUGAAGAACCAAGCACACUGCAAGCAUCGAGGUCCCCUUGGCAAAACCAAGGCUCGAAGUCACAUCAAGGACAGUAUGGAGGAGACAGAGGAAGAAAACAUGGUGUUGGAGAAAGCCAGUUUGGCAUCCUGAAAUGGGACCAGCUCUGUAUUCACAUCUGCAAGCUGUGGACUCUGCUGCUGUCACACAGCCUUCAGAACUGCUGA
rnacentral:lncRNA from 1 species